CUACAAAUUAGUGACAUGUUGAAUUGUUGUUUUUUUAAUUACUAUGCCAGCGCUUUUUGAGAGGUCUUAUUUUAUUCUUAAUUUAUUUUGCAAAUUUAUUUGAGGAUUAGGCCAUCCAAUUAAGAUAGAUUUCAUGUUGCUGGUUGUAAAGAUCUGGAUGGAUAUUUAUGUGUGCCUAUGCCAAGAGGCACACUUAUUACUAUUCGUCGGAUUUAUUAUGGAUUUAUUAUUAUUAUGUGUGCCUAUGCCAAGAGGCACACAUAUUACUAUUCGUCGGAUUUAUUAUUAUUAUUAUUGUGUGGAUGCUGGAGGCAUCCACACUAUUGAGUUCCUGUUUCUCUUUAUUCUUUAUUGUGUGGAUGCUGGAGGCAUCCACACUAUUGAGUUCCUGUUUCUCUUUAUUCUUUAUUAUUAUUAUUAUUCUUAGGACUUCCGUACACUUUUCGCCGUGGAUCUACUUCCACAAUUUUCAGCCGAUUUUCACCGUUCAAAUUUUAAACUAUUCUGCUAUUUCUGCUAAUGAUGGCUAUAUCUUUUGGUAUUUUAUACUAUUAUACUUUUUAAAAUAUUAAGCUUUUUUCCUUUAAUUUGUCCCAUUGAAAUGAAUGGGAAACUUCCUCAAUUCUGCUAAAACUUGCUUGUUUUUGAAACUUAACUACUUUUUCCUACUUUCACGUAGAACAACCAUUCAAACUUUAAAAUGUUCUCAAAUUAUUGGGCUAUUCAGGAAUAAAUCAGCUUUUUCAAAUCUUUCACCGUUUUACUUUUAUGCCUCUUAAAGUUUUGAGUUGCAAAAUUGUGAUUUUUCACAAAAUACAUGCGUUGUUAUGGUUGCUAUGCACUUGGCUUCCAGUGUGCCACUGUAGGUUUCGCAGUCUUCUCUUCAUGUCCGAACAACUCCUUGCUACUUGCUCAAUUUUCACUCAACUUCCACAAAUUAUACAUCAAAACGUAGGUAUUUUUGCUGGCUUUCCGAAAAUGUCACUAUCAUGGUUGUGAGAUUUAUAGAAUUUUGGCAAAUCUCCUCAGACCAACACAAAGUCUCAAAACUCUCCAUAGAAAGUCAAUGGAGAGCUUGUUCAAAAUCACCGCUUGAUUUCUGUAAUGAGAGGCAUAUUCGAAUCGUCAUAUCUCCUUAACGAAGCAAAGUUAAGACAUGAGGCUUGUCCCAGUAUAUCUUCAGACACUCCUGACGCUCACAAUUCAAGAAUUUCUUUCUCACCUAUUACCGUUCUGAAAUGAGUUAGACUUGUUUGAGGGUAGGAAAUUCGUCGUUUGCUCAGAUUUCUUCAGAUUUCAAACUCUGGAAAUGAACCACUUUUUUCUCUCGUCAUAUCUUUUUAAUGAAUUCCCACAGAGACCUGAAAAUUUCCAUGACUGUUCACCAAAGCCUGCUGUCUCUUACGGUGAAAGAAUGAUAUCGAUACUCCAAAUAGAUUUAGAGUUAGAAAGCGUUGUUUGAGGGGAAGACAAGGCAGUUUUUGCUGCGCCUCUACUCAGUUAUGGUGCAUUACAAGUCAAAUAUCUUCAAUAAUUCAUAUUUUAAUGAUAAAUUGUCAACACUGUAAGAUUCCUCCAUCUCUUCUGAACAAAACGGUGUAAGAAUGACCGUUCUAGCCCCUACGGUUAGGAAAUUAUGGCCAUUUGUUUGAGAGGAAUCCUCACUAUGAGAAAUUCACUGCAGAAAUCCUGUCUCUGUGCUCUGUGUGUGUAAAAACGGCUGCACCUGUUUUGGCGGGAAAAAGUACACAGCCUCUCUGAUUGGUGGAUUCAAAUUUAGCAGCUCCCAGGCUGCUUGAAUGACCUAGCAAGUUGCUCCUCUCUCCCUGUGUGUGUGUGUGUGUGUGUGUGUGUGACAGAGAGAGAGAAAGAGAGGGCGAGACAGAGUUUUUAUGGGAGCAUCUUAUUGUAUGAUUUAAAUUCAAUAUAUUUAGACUGGUUGACUGAAUUUGAUCCUGUGUGUGUCUCUCUGUGCAUGUGUGUUUCCAUAUGUUUCCAUAUUUGUGAUUGUGUGACUGUUACACUUUUUUUGCUGAGUUUUUUUUUCAUUUAACAAGUACAUUUGAAGGACCCUUAGCAUUUUCAGCAUUUUUUCAGCUGUCCAUUUUGCGUUUCCAAUUUUUCUGUUUAAGUUAUUACUAUUGUGCUGAAUCAUACUAUUUCUGCUAUUUUAUAAGAUUUGUGCUAAAUACAGUAUUUCUGCCCAAUAUAGUAUUUCUGAUUAAUUAUAGUUUUUCUACCAUAUCAUAGUACAGUAUUUUUGCUUUUUAUACCAUUUUUAUAGGAUAUUUAUAUUGCUUAAUAUAGUAUUU
rnacentral:lncRNA from 1 species